rnacentral:miRNA from 1 species
UGGAGAAGCAGGGCACGUGCGAACACAAAUGAGAUCGAUCGGUACAUGACGAUGAUCAUAUUUUCGCACGUGUUCUACUCCUCCA